rnacentral:lncRNA from 1 species
AUCAAGGUUAUGGGUACGGUAAUUAUGGUGGAAGCAGUGGACCUUAUUCUGGUGGCUAUGGAGCUGCUGGUGGACGAGCUGGAAGUGGUGCUGGAGGAGAGAAUGAAUAUGGUGACACAAAUGGGAACUCAGGCUAUACAAAUGCAUCCUGGAGGUCUGAUUCUUCACAGACCUCAAGUGGUUACAGUGGUGGGUAUGGUGGUGCACAUUCCCGACAGGCGCAACAGCAGUGAUUGGCGAUGCCCUCAGUUUUUUUCUUUGCCUGGUGGAAGACUCAAUUUAUGAUGACAAGAGAUUGUGGGAAUGGUUGGGUUGCCUGAA